CUACACGGCGCAACAACCCAUGACAGACAUCUUUAUACUCGCCGCCGAUGUGAGAACCCGAAUUCUCACACAUUUAAAUGUACCGCGUGUAAAUGUAGGACACUCAGCUGCUGAAAAAUGAAUACCAAGUUGCGAAAUAGUAUGAAUUUGUCGUCCUGCGCAUAGAUUAAUGCCUGUUUCUGCUAUGUUCGUGCCUACACCGACGACAGUGAUGUAACAUCGGAAAACGGACGAAAAGCAUGGGAUCACGCAUUAGUACUUAAAAAAUCAGGUGUCAAGAAUUGCAGCAUUGUGUACAAUAAUGGCAAUUCCAGCUGGUGCAAUUUUACAUUUAUGUAAUGGAAAUAAACAGCAUUUCAACAAAAUCUUUCUGCUAACUUGUAAAUCAGCAUCGUAUUGUUUGCGAGUUAGCUGCAAUGUUCACCAAUAUGUUUUAAAGGUCACAUCAGAUCAAGGUUCUCAGAAAUCGCCUACGCAAACUUCGGGACCUUCAGCAGUACAUCAAGAAAAGAUUGAUAAUGGGGAAUUAAUGCAUGAUGAUUGUCAACACAGAGUCACGGACAGUUUGCAGCGACUUUAUGAGAACAUCCAAGGAUAUAAACCAUCUGUGCAUGGAUUGUUUAGUAGAUUCUUUAAAAAGGCAUCCAAAGCCCCAAAGGGACUCUAUAUCUAUGGUGCUGUUGGUGGUGGUAAAACAAUGCUCAUGGAUUUGUUCUACGGUUGUUGUGAGGUUGAAGGAAAACAACGUGUUCACUUUCAUUCAUUCAUGCUAGAUGUUCAUUCCCGGAUUCAUGAGGUAAAGAAGACUGUUGUGAGGGACUAUAAGAGCACAAAACCACAGCCUUUCGACCCCAUUCCCCCUGUUGCAAGAUCAAUCAGUAAUAACUCAUGGCUAAUUUGUUUUGAUGAAUUCCAGGUCACUGAUGUAGGGGAUGCUAUGAUACUGAAGCGUUUAUUUACGGAACUGUUUCGCAAUGGAGUUGUUGUGGUGGUAACAAGUAAUAGGGCUCCAGAUGAUCUGUACAAAAAUGGACUUCAGCGCUCAAAUUUUGUUCCAUUUAUUCACGUGCUCAAAGAACACUGUGAAGUGGAAUGUCUUGAUUCUGGGAUUGAUUACAGACUAAGAUCUGAUCCUGGUAAUGAUAGAAAAUACUUUGUGAAGGGAGAGUGUGACGAUGCUGACCAAGAGAUGGAUAAAGUCUUUAAGUACUUAUGUUCUUUUGAGAAUGACAUAAUCCGGCCUCGGACAAUCAGUAUAAAGGGACGUGAUGUUUCCUUUAAAAAGACGUGUGGUCAAGUUCUAGACAGUACUUUCUCUGAGUUGUGUGAUCGGCCUCAUGGAGCGAGUGACUACAUUCAGUUAUCUCAUGCUUUCCAUACGAUUCUUAUUCGAGAUGUGCCACAAAUGAGUCUGCAGAUAAAAUCGCAAGCUCGGCGCUUCAUCACUCUUAUAGAUACACUGUAUGAUAACAAGGUGAGAGUUGUGAUAUCAUCUGCUGUUCCAAACAGACAGCUUUUCUUGACUGGGCAGCAAGAGGAUUUCUCGGAUGACCAUCGUAAGCUCAUGGAUGAUCUGAACAUUCAGCAUGGCUCUAAAUUAGUUCACUAAGCUGCGCACAUGGCAAGACACAGGGCAGUCAGUACUCGAAGACUGCUUGACAUUUCAGCGCUGCUUGCAGGAAGAGUUGCCAUUGAUGUUGGAAGAUGUUCCUCUGCUAACUAGGCAAGAGAUGUGGCUGCAGCAAGAUGGUGCAGCUCAUCAUUUUGAUAGGCAGGCGACUGCAUUUUGAAUCUACAUUUUCCAGACCGUUGAAUUGGCUGAGGUGGUCCAGUUGUUUGGCCAGCGAGAUCACCAGAUCUUUCGCCUUUAGACUACUUUCUAUGAGGUCACAUGAAAUACUUGAUUUAUUCCAUCAAGUCAAACGGUAGGGCUGAGCUGCUGAAACGAAUAAUGGACUCCGGUGCUAAUAUCAAAAAUGAUCUUGACUAUGAAGAGAGCUGUUACUUCAAUUACACAAAGGGCUCAACUGUGCGUUGACAAUCAGGGUGACCAUUUCGAGUCAUGUAAAUAAUGAAAAUGCUUCUGCUAGUAUUUUUACUGGAGAUGAAGAAAUCUUUGCUUUUGAUCGAACUAUGUCACGACUCUCAGAAAUGCAAACUUGUGAAUACUGGGAACAAUGGGAAAGGCAUAGGUAAUUUAGGACUAAAAC